GUCACGGGACGCAAGAGGCCA
rnacentral:misc_RNA from 1 species